UACGUAGGGGGCAAGCGUUGUCCGGAAUCAUUGGGCGUAAAGCGCGUGUAGGCGGUCCGGUAAGUCCGCUGUGAAAGUCGGGGGCUCAACCCUCGGAUGCCGGUGGAUACUGUCGGGCUUGAGUACGGAAGAGGCGAGUGGAAUUCCUGGUGUAGCGGUGAAAUGCGCAGAUAUCAGGAGGAACACCAAUAGCGAAGGCAGCUCGCUGGGACGGUACUGACGCUAAGGCGCGAAAGCGUGGGGAGCAAACAGG
rnacentral:rRNA from 1 species